AUACGGAGGAUGCAAGCGUUAUCCGGAUUUAUUGGGUUUAAAGGGUGCGUAGGCGGUUUGCUAAGCGGGAGGUGAAAUGCCGGCGCUCAACGUCGGAAGUGCCUCCCGAACUGGUGGACUUGAAUGACUCUGCCGUGGGAGGAAUGUGUAGUGUAGCGGUGAAAUGCUUAGAGAUUACACAGAACACCGAUUGCGAAGGCAACUCACGAAGGGUUGAUUGACGCUGAGGCCCGAAAGCGUGGGGAUUCAACAGGAUUAGAUUCCCUGGUAGGCCACGCAGUAAACGAUGAUUGCUAACCGCUGGGCUUAUCAGUUCAAUGGCCAAGCGAAAGCGAUAAACCAUCCACCCGGGGAGUACGACCGCAAGGUUGAAACUCAAAUGAAUUGACGGGG
rnacentral:rRNA from 1 species